AACGAACGCUGGCGGCGUGCCUAACACAUGCAAGUCGAGCGCGAAAGUCCCUUCGGGGGCGAGUAGAGCGGCGGACGGGUGAGUAAUACAUGGAUAAUCUCCCUUCGAGCCUGGGAUAACCCUGCGAAAGCGGGGCUAAUACCGGAUAAGACCACGUCACUUAUGUGAUGCGGGAAAAGGUGGCUUUAUUUUCGAAUGAGGCUAUCACUUGAAGAUGAGUCCAUGGCCUAUCAGCUUGUUGGUGAGGUAAAAGCUCACCAAGGCUAUGACGGGUAGCUGGUCUAAGAGGACGACCAGCCACACUGGGACUGAGACACGGCCCAGACUCCUACGGGAGGCAGCAGUGGGGAAUAUUGGGCAAUGGGCGAAAGCCUGACCCAGCGACGCCGUGUGGGCGAUGAAGGCCUUCGGGUUGUAAAGCCCUGUCAGGUGGGAAGAAGGGCUCAGAGACGAAUAAUCCCUGAGUUUUGACGGUACCACCGGAGGAAGCACCGGCUAACUCCGUGCCAGCAGCCGCGGUAAUACGGAGGGUGCGAGCGUUGUUCGGAAUUACUGGGCGUAAAGGGCGCGUAGGUGGUUGUGUAAGUCAGAUGUGAAAUCUCUCGGCUCAACUGAGAAACUGCAUCUGAUACUGCAUGACUAGAGUGCAGCAGAGGGAAACGGAAUUCCUGGUGUAGAGGUGAAAUUCGUAGAUAUCAGGAGGAACACCGGUGGCGAAGGCGGUUUCCUGGGCUGACACUGACACUGAGGCGCGAAAGCGUGGGUAGCAAGCAGGAUUAGAUACCCUGGUAGUCCACGCCGUAAACGGUGAAUACUGGGUGUGGGAGGUGUAAUGCCUUCUGUGCCGAAGCUAACGCGUUAAGUAUUCCGCCUGGGGAGUACGGCCGCAAGGUUG
rnacentral:rRNA from 1 species